GCGCUUCGAACGCUACAGAAUUUCUAAGCGCCAUUAUUAUUUCGUCUCGUCAAGGUGCGGACUAUUCGUAGAGCGUGGCCUAAUAAUAAGCUCACUUCCGAUUCAUAGAGCGCCGCGAGUGUAUUAUGCGCUUGUCGCGCGUCAGCUUCCACGGACAAGCCGCCGUCUUUCCCUCUUUCUGCACCAGAAAUCUUAUCGAUUUUAUCUUCGACUGCCAGCGAGGAGCGCGGAGAAGGGCACGUAGUGGACAGAUGGGCCAUUGUUGUCUUCUGGAUUCGUCGUAUUCGCGUCCAAGGUACGUUACAAAGGAGGGCAGUUGAAAGGCUUUGGGAUGAAGAUAACCAGUCGUCGAACGUGUUUACGGCGAUUGAUCCCGACGUCGAUGAUGGUUCGUGGAACUGUCGUUUGGCUUGAGAGGCGAAAUUGGGGAGGUACACGUGUUUGAAGAAGUUCCGUGGCUCUUUAACGGCGAGUGAUUUACGAAUAUGAAAGAAAAGGCCACUUGAGCUUUCGAGAGGAAAGGUACAUGUUAAAAAUUGAUAAAGUUUGCUUUACGCGGUGCAGAUGAUUACGCGGUAAAGGAGAUCUAUCUGAGAUGUUUUCCAAAUGAAAAUUUCGUCGAAGGGACGAGGCAUGUACACAGAGCAUAUUUAACGAGGAAGAUUUGGGAAUAACAGAAGUAGACGGAGCAGCUCAAAACUCGAUAUUUCUUCUUCCAUCGUAAUCCGAAAAACACGAUACAAAACGAAGAUUUACGGAUAGGAAAUAUUUCAACGAAAAACACAAAAUUAUCGGGCGGAUAAAUUUUUAGAAACUACAAAAUCUUCCAGCUAUAUGGCAGCAGAGUAAAUCUUCGAUAAUCCGAACGUGAUUUAUUAUCUUCCACUGCCGUUCGAAUCGAUAUCUCUAGCUACAGGCUCAAAUCCGGAGAUCUUCGUCGAACAGGAAAAAGAUAUUUUGAAAAACAAUUGUAAAGAUAAAUAUCGAUAGAUCAUUGAAAAGGUAGAGUCGAAAAUAGUAACUCGAAAAAUAAUGCUAAAAAUGUAACCGAUAUCGCUAAAAUAUUCAGAAGUCUGUUUGAGAAUAUUUAUAGGUAAACAAAAUUCACGAAAGCGUUCGAGAGACACGUAUAGAAGAACGUAUGCAAAUUUCAGGCCAGUUUCGACCAGACUGCAGCUCCUUUUCUCUUAAUUAUUCCACAUUUGUAGAGAUUAUUUAAGAGCCGAACGCUUUUUCCAACGUCUACAAAAGAGAUAUAGUUGCAAUUAAAUGUAAUUAUUAAAAUUCAACGAGCGAAACUCCUCCUUUUUAUUUUGUUUAUGAUGUUUAUUCGUAUCUCGUAUAUUUAUCUGUUACAUUUCAUUCGGAUUAAACGACCUAACUUUCA